rnacentral:rRNA from 1 species
GACGAACCGUGCGAACGUUAUUCGGAAUCACUGGGCUUAAAGCGCGUGUAGGCGGGACGGCACGUCGGUCGCUGAAAUCCCCCGGCUUAACCGGGGAACUGGCGUCGAUACGACCGUCCUGGAGGGGCGUAGGGGGACCUGGAACUUCCGGUGGAGCGGUGAAAUGCGUUGAGAUCGGAAGGAACGCCCGUGGCGAAAGCGAGGUCCUGGACGACUACUGACGCUGAGACGCGAAAGCCAGGGGAGCGAACGGG